GCCGACUGCUUCUCUUUGAUGCAGGGCACCACAGCCGCGAGGGGGAAACCCGCGUUUUUCCGGAUUGGGGUCGGGAUUUUGCCGCGCCCCAUAAAUUUUUUUCGGGCCGGGACGGGAUGUGGGGUCUGGUCGGGCAGGUUUUUUCGCCCCUACCCGCAUUUUGGCAGUUAUUUUGCGGGCCGGGGGCGGAUGCGGGGAUGCGGGUGAGUUGCAGGAGCAUAGCAGAUCUGUUCUCUCUUCCUUCGUCGACCGAACCAGGUUCCUCAUUCGCCUCCCAUGGAGACGCCGCCUCCACCACCUGCCCUGCCGUCCGUUCUCGCCCACCUGCGGUCCCUCCUCUCCGCCGCCUCUUCCGCUCUAUCCUCCCUCCCUUCCCCACUCCUCCCCUGCUCCACCACCACCACGGCGACGAUCGCCACCUCCUCCACACUCCCCGCACCUGCGCCCACCACCCCGCUCCCAUCUCUCCCCUCUUCACCGACUUCCGAAAUCCCCCUCCCCCUCCCGGCUGCGCCCGCCCCCUACCACGACUGCCCAGCCGUCGUCCGCACCACCAGCCAACCGCCCGCCUCGUCCUCCCUCCCCGCCUUCCUCGCCGCCGAGUGUGCAGACUUCGCCUCCUCCACUGCCGCCCCAACCCUCUCCUCUCCUCCCCGCAUCCUCCCGUCUGAGCUCUGCCUCCUGCGUCGGGAGGUGGACUCCUGGGGCUGCCACCACCCCCCCGGGGCGUACUCCUACGCCGCGGCCCGCGUGGUGGAGGCACUGCGGCUAGGUGCUCUACAGUGGGAAGUCGAGCUGCGGCGCUGGUUGCUCGCGAGCUCACCGAAAUAUGGUAUCGUGAUUGAUGCGGCCAGUCGAGACCAUGUGUUUGUGCUGGUCAGGCUGUGUAUGAAGGCGGCGGCGGCGGAGGCAGGGUGCUCGCUGGAACGCCUGCCCAAGGGGGAGGGCGAGGAGUUUCGUCUUGAUCCGAGGCCUGUGCGGUUCGAGUGCCCCAGGCUGGUUGAUGGUGUCUCCUGGUUGGCGAGCCAGCUCGAGGUUUUGUAUGGGAAGGGCAAUGGCUGGUUCUUCGCGAUUACGGCGGUGAAGGAGGCAAUUCUUAGGUUGGGGUCUUGUUUGGCUGUCGGUGUUGGAGAUGGUGUUGCUGGAGGCGCUAGUGAAAAAGGAUGUGAGUUGAGAGAUACUGGGACAUGCCCUAUUUUUGUCUCUCAGGUUGCUGCUGCCAUUGCAGCCUUACAUGACAGGUUGUCCCUGGAUAAGAAGAUUAGGGCUCUGCAAGCUCCACGCCCAUCCAAAUAUCAGCUGUUACUUGAAUAUUCACAAAUACUGAAGCAAGGCUGUGAUGAGCGUUCAAAGCGACCAAACUACAGAGCUGUUCUGGAUUAUGAUGGAAUUCUACCACGUCAAAUGGAUAACCAGGAAUCUGGUAGGUCCAAGACAAGGGAGGAGCUGCUAGCUGAAGAACGGGAUUACAAGAGAAGAAGAAUGUCUUACCGUGGGAAGAAAAUGAAGCGAAAUCCAACAGAGAUAUUAAGAGACAUAAUUGAUGAGCACAUGGCGGAAAUAAAACAAGCAGGUCUGGGGGAACCUCCUGGUGACAUUGCACAAAAUAUACUUGAGACCAAUUCUAAUGGAGGCGCUUACCAAGGAAGCUCUUGUGAUAAGGCUAUUUUGGGUUCUCGAUUACCUAGUCGUGAGAACUCACCGCAUACUGCAUCAAGGAGCCAUGACACAAGGGAUUCAUAUAUGAACAUAAGAUAUGAAAAUAGUGGACACCGUCACCAAAAUGUAUCUGAGCAUGAGAAAGGAGGGAUCAGAGAAUCAGGAAAUGCAAUGAAUCGAGGCUAUUCUGACCGGCAUGAUUACACACAUAAAAGAAACACCAAUGAUCAUAGGAAAUAUGGUAAUAAGUAUAAAAAGAACAUCCCAGAUUACCAUUCUGAAUCAAGUGAUCGUUCAGCAUGGUCCACGCGAACACCAAAAUCCUCGGAAAGAGAAUACGGCGGCAUGCCAGGAGAUAAAAGCAAUGAUAGAACCAGAACUACUCAGAACAGACAUGGAUCAAUACCUGGGAAUAAAGAUCAGUUCAGUGAUAGAUAUGAUCCCAAAAGCAGAUAUUCUGAUGAGGAUCCUCGUGAAGCAUACCAUGAUGCGUGAUCUGAAUUACUGAGGAACAGAGUACAUUUUCCUGUUGAUCUCAGUAUACUGUGUAAUACAGGCAUCUGGGUUAAUACCGUCAGCUGUAUCCUUUUCUGUAUCCUUAUGCAGAAAAUGCUUUACUAUUUCUGCUGAGAUUGUUGUAGUGACAGUCUGUUACAGUUCCUGAAUAUGGGAAAUUAUUAAUUGUUAGUGCAUUUUCUUGCUUAUAAAUUACAUUCAUCUCACCAAUCAAAUUUCCAUCUAAUUUUAGCUAAUCAAAAAUAUCGGAACAUCAUGUAGGGUGCAUAUGUUUCCCGUUCACAACCGAUCUUUUAAAAGGACUUCCUGUUAGUUUCGAAGCAUGCAUUCGUAAUAACUUCGCUAUGGAAUUCUAUCCUUUUUAGUUAGGGUACCCUUUUAGUUUUGAACUGGCAGGAAUUUCAGUUGACUACCUUUGCCUGGAAAGGGCAUGGCUGGAAUAAAUUUUCUUCACCUAUCUGCUUGCAUUGCAUCUCAUGCAGAUGCUACUCAUGCAUAAUUAUUGGUUCAUGUUAUUUUUUGUGGGCCUAGUUUUUCUACAAUGAGUUCUGUAAGCGAAGGCCAAUCUUAAGCGCCACAACCCAGUAGUUGUGACUUGUAUUGUCCUAUUUUUUAUGGACUGUGUUUUGCUCUACUGUUAGGUAGUGUUAAAAUGGAUUUUCCAUACAUAUCAAGUACUUACACAUAAGAAAGUGAUGUAGGUAGUACUGAAGUAGGGUUCUGCAUCUGCCAAGAUGUAGCCAGGUGCCCUCCGGUGUUCAAGCUUGAUGAAGCAGCACUUACACAAUCAUUCCCAGUGGUGGAUGUGAAGAACACAUGUUUUGGCUGUGCUGUUUGUACUUCUUUAGCUUUGCAACAUGGAGGAGCACGCUUGAGUGUCUGCUCCCUUGGACGGGGAGGACAGUGGCCUCAAUUAGGUAUCUGAGCUGGAUGUUGAAGUUUGAUGAACUACUUAGACAACAGUAAUUUUGAUAGGUAGUUAGUUCGUCUAAGUUCUGUUUAGCUCAUCGCAAUCACGGAGUUUUACCCCUUUGGCGUGCAACAGCCAUCCUGCUGGUAAGGUGUUUCCUAGAGCACAAAACCUUCCUUCGCCAAUCAAAGUUCAACACAUGGGUUGUUCGAGAAAUUUGUUUACGUCAGUAUUUUGCUCACUGAGAGCAUGUAUGGUUAAAUUUUGCAUUUUGUUAGUUUGUGAUACACUAAAAAAAAGGUUCCGAAUUGGCAUUGCACCCGUUUUCAGAAA